rnacentral:rRNA from 1 species
UAUUGCACAAUGGGCGCAAGCCUGAUGCAGCCAUGCCGCGUGUGUGAAGAAGGCCUUCGGGUUGUAAAGCACUUUCAGCGGGGAGGAAGGCGAUAAGGUUAAUAACCUUGUUGAUUGACGUUACCCGAAGAAGAAGCACCGGCUAACUCCGUGCCAGCAGCCGCGGUAAUACGGAGGGUGCAAGCGUUAAUCGGAAUUACUGGGCGUAAAGCGCACGCAGGCGGUCUGUCAAGUCGGAUGUGAAAUCCCCGGGCU